CCUACGGGAGGCAGCAGUGAGGAAUAUUGGUCAAUGGGCGGAAGCCUGAACCAGCCAAGUCGCGUGAGGGAAGAAGGCCCUGCGGGUCGCAGACCUCUUUGGACGGGGAGCAAGGCCGCCGACGUGUCGGCGGAAGGAGAGUACCCGUAGAACAAGCAUCGGCUAACUCCGUGCCAGCAGCCGCGGUAAUACGGAGGAUGCGAGCGUUAUCCGGAUUUAUUGGGUUUAAAGGGUGCGCAGGCGGCGUGUCAAGUCAGCGGUAAAAUGUCGGGGCUCAACCCCGGCCGGCCGUUGAAACUGGCGUG
rnacentral:rRNA from 1 species